UUGCCUCAGUAACGGCGAGUGAAGCGGCAAUAGCUCAAAUUUGAAAUCUGGCAUCCGCCCGAAUUGUAAUUUGUAGAGGAUGCUUCGGCUUACGUCUCGGUCUAAGUUCCUUGGAACAGGACGUCACAGAGGGUGAGAAUCCCGUUUGUGGCCGUGACUUCCGCCAUGUGAAGCUCCUUCGACGAGUCGAGUUGUUUGGGAAUGCAGCUCUAAAUGGGAGGUAUGUUUCUUCUAAAGCUAAAUACCGGCCAGAGACCGAUAGCGCACAAGUAGAGUGAUCGAAAGAUGAAAAGCACUUUGGAAAGAGAGUUAAAAAGUACGUGAAAUUGUUGAAAGGGAAGCGCUUGCAACCAGACUUGCUCGUAGUUGCUCAACCGGUCCUCCGGCCGGUGCACUCUUCUACGGUCAGGCCAGCAUCAGUUCGGGUGGUUGGAGAAAGGCCUUGAGAAUGUGGCUCUCUUCGGGGAGUGUUAUAGCUCUUGGUGUCAUACAGCCUGCCUGGACUGAGGUCCGCGCUUCGGCUAGGAUGCUGGCGUAAUGGUUGUAAGCGGCCCGUCUUGAAACACGGACCAAGGAGUCUAACAUCUAUGCGAGUGUUUGGGUGUCAAACCCGUGCGCGUAAUGAAAGUGAACGGAGGUGGGAACUUUUUGUGCACCAUCGACCGAUCCUGAUGUCUUCGGAUGGAUUUGAGUAAGAGCAUAGCUGUUGGGACCCGAAAGAUGGUGAACUAUGCCUGAAUAGGGUGAAGCCAGAGGAAACUCUGGUGGAGGCUCGCAGCGGUUCUGACGUGCAAAUCGAUCGUCAAAUUUGGGUAUAGGGGCGAAAGACUAAUCGAACC
rnacentral:rRNA from 1 species